AUAAUCAUUAGUUUUUUAAUUGAAGGCUGGAAUGAAUGAUUGGACGAGAUAUUUACUGUCUCAAUUAAAAUAAAAUUAAAAUUUAUAAUUUAAUUUAAAAUAGUUAAAUGAAAUUAAAAGACGAGAAGACCCUAUAGAGUUUAAUAUAUAUAUAUAUAUAUAUAUAUAUGUGUAUAUAUAUAUAUAUAUAUAUAUAUAUUUGGUUGGGGUGAUUUUAGAAUUUAAAAAAUUUCUAAAUUUAAAAACAUUAAUUUAUGAAAAUUAUUGAUUUUAUACUAAAAGAAUUAGAUAAAUUACCUUAGGGAUAACAGCGUAAUUUUUUUGGAAAGAUCAUAUUUAUAAAAAAGUUUGC
rnacentral:rRNA from 1 species